rnacentral:piRNA from 1 species
ACCCUUGAAUGUUUCUCUAGCCUUACAGU